CUUAUACGCUAAUUCACUAUUAAAUAGAAAUGUAUAUGCAAAACAGCGAGAAAUUUGUAGAUACGUUGAAUGUUGUUGCUUUCACAUUUGCAACUCUUAGUAGUUGUUCAAAACAACAAUGUCGAGCAAAGAUGUUUGCGAUGUUUGAAUGAUUCUUGGAUUGUAUUUGGAUUCCAUCGGUACUAUGGCCUGUUGAUUCGGCACCUUUGUCAUUUUAGCAACUUUUGUUUUCUUUUCUGUGUCGAUGUAGUUCUCUAUACCAUAUUCAUGUUCAUAUCAAUGUCCAUAUCAAGGUCCAUAUCAAUGUCCAUAUCAAUUUCCCAUGUUCCAUUACAUAUCCCGUGUUCUUUCCUUCUUCCAGCUUUUACAUGCUAGCCUUUUAUACAAUGAUUCCUCUCAUCUCGACUCGCUUGAUGAAUGGGCGUUUAGUUUUUGCAACAACAUAUGCGUUGGGUUAUCUCAUAUCGGGAAACACUUUCUGCCACUUUUAACUUGAACAAAGUUGGAGAAAUAAAGUGAUGGCAGAUAUUGCAAGUUGUUUAUAGUGUGCCUGUAGAAAUGUAAAAACGCUAUGUUUCGUGAAUGCCCAGCCUGUAAAUCGAAAUAAGAUUUCGUAUUUAUUAAGCAUUGGAAGAUCACAAUUGGAAAAAACACGAUACGGNUGGUCUCUUCACAGUCGUUCUCCAGUAAUCACAAACAUGAAACCUAAAUAUACGGUAACUUUUGCACCUAUUAGGACAACGCCCNCANGNGACUGCAUUAAAACAUNAUACCGAAGCACUGACA
rnacentral:sRNA from 1 species